UCUCGAUUCGUCUGGUGGUUAGGGUGUCUGCUUGUCAUUCCGUUGCUGACCCGCGUCUCGAAGAAAGAAUUCGAAAGUGGCCGGUGUUCGAUUCCCCGAUCGAGAG
rnacentral:tRNA from 1 species